UUGACCUUUCAAUUUCAACUAGUGGGCUUUAAUGACAAGUAAAUCCUAACUUGACCUUUCAAUUUCAACCAGUGGGCUUUUAUGCCAUGUUACACCAAAUUUGCCUAUAAAUAUCACCACUCCCUAGCAUGGCAAACACUAGCAACACUCUCACAGACACACAUUCGACUAAAGGAGAGGAAGGAGAACAAGAGAGAAAUCUUGAAAGGAAGAGGAAGGGAGAAGAGAGCCAUCUUGUUCAAAGCUUAGCAAAAAUAUCAAGAUCAAGAGACAUACGACCAGCUCACUACAUUUUCAAGAUCAACUGAUUCUCACUACUCUCACAAGUACUCUUAAAUACUGAAGUGCAGAAUUAUGAAUCAGACAUUUUCGAAGCCAGUGGCUACAAAUGGUUGAGUUGGUAAACUCUUUAUUUCUAAGGCCUUGUUGAGAUACCCAUAAGCUGAUUCUCAGCUCUUUUCAUGUUGAACUUGGAAGGAAACUGUCUCUCUACCCAAAUGGUGACAAAGAAAGAAAAGGAGGACAUAUCUCUCUCUACUUGGUAAUUGCAGAGACAAGUAAUUUACCUCUAGGUUGGGAGGUCAAUGUCAGCUUCAAAUUGUUUGUGUAUGAUCAGAUUCAAGACAAGUACGUGACCAUCCAAGAUGCUGAUGGGAAGGUAAGACACUUUCAUGGAAUGAAAACAGGGUGGGGUUUCGCCUAAUUACUCCCUCUCAGUGAUUUCCAUGAUGCUGCUAGUGGAUACCUCCUUCGCAACACGUGUUUGUUUGAAGCAGAAGUUUUUUUUAUAAAUUAUACUGGCAGAGGAGAGUGUCUGACCUUAGUGAAGGAACUCGACAUUACUAAUACUUUGGAAGAUUGAUAAUUUUUCGUCUCUAGAUGGAGAAACUCAACUCUGAUAUCUUCACUGCUGAAAGUUGCAAUUGAUGGUUACUGGUUCACUGCUUCAGAAACCAGCUAUGGCUUCCCUUCAUUCUCGUUGCUAACUGAUCUCCGCAAGACCUCCAAGGGCUUCCUCAUUAAUGAUACUUUGAUUGUCCAAGUGGAAGUUACUGUCAUGUCCACAGUGAAGAACUUCGCUCUGUAAUCCUAGAGGCUUUUAUUUCCAGUAGUUGAAUUCUCAUUUCAGUAGUUACUUUUAAGAAAGAAGUGAACUAACUAUUGUGUUAUUUACCGAUUUGGAUUUAUCAAUAUCUUUCCGAAGUGUUACAUUUCGUAUUUCAUAUAAACUAUAAUGAAGAUGCAAAAUGAAGUAAUAGUGUAAUUAAAAUUGUACACAAUGUCGCAAUCUACUAGAUUCAACCAACUUCAUUGUACAUUCAACAGUUUUUAUUUCUAAAUCAAUCAUCAUUACCCAUCUAUUGCCCCUCCAAAAUCAAAGAUGGUAAACAAGGCAACAAGUAAUAAGCAUCAAAACAAGGCAAACAGCUUGAUGAGAUAGAAAAGUUACCAUGGAAAUCAUGUUGUCCGUUGGGAACUUUUCGAAAGCUUCAUGAAGACACAAUAUUCCCCGUGUUGGCAGCUCAAACCAUUUUUGUAUGUUUUUCAUUGCACAA